UACGUAGGGCGCAAGCGUUGUCCGGAAUUAUUGGGCGUAAAGAGCUCGUAGGUGGUUUGUUACGUCUGCUGUGAAAACCUAGGGCUUAACCCUGGGCCUGCAGUGGAUACGGGCAGACUAGAGGUAGGUAGGGGAGAAUGGAAUUCCCGGUGUAGCGGUGAAAUGCGCAGAUAUCAGGAGGAAUACCGAUGGCGAAGGCAGGUCUCUGGGCUGACACUGACGCUCAUGCACGAAAGCGUGGGGAGCAAACAGG
rnacentral:rRNA from 1 species